AACAUUUUCUCUUGCAUAAGAGAAAAUUGAAAGAUGGUUUCGGCUAUCACUUACAGAUGGGCCCGCGGUGCAUUAGCUAGUUGGUGAGGUAACGGCUCACCAAGGCAACGAUGCAUAGCCGACCUGAGAGGGUGAUCGGCCACACUGGGACUGAGACACGGCCCAGACUCCUACGGGAGGCAGCAGUAGGGAAUCUUCCGCAAUGGACGAAAGUCUGACGGAGCAACGCCGCGUGAGUGAUGAAGGCUUUCGGGUCGUAAAACUCUGUUGUUAGGGAAGAACAAGUACAAGAGUAACUGCUUGUACCUUGACGGUACCUAACCAGAAAGCCACGGCUAACUACGUGCCAGCAGCCGCGGUAAU
rnacentral:rRNA from 2 species